UGGAUUGUUGAUGACUACUGGUGGCAUAUGAGUCAUCUACAGUGAAUAUGUCUCUGGAACUCUGAGGUGUGU
rnacentral:snoRNA from 1 species